rnacentral:rRNA from 1 species
AGAACGAACGCUGGCGGCAUGCCUAACACAUGCAAGUCGAACGAGACCUUCGGGUCUAGUGGCGCACGGGUGCGUAACGCGUGGGAACCUGCCCUUAGGUUCGGAAUAACUCCUCGAAAGGGGUGCUAAUACCGGAUGAUGUCUUCGGACCAAAGAUUUAUCGCCUAUGGAUGGGCCCGCGUUGGAUUAGCUAGUUGGUGAGGUAAAGGCUCACCAAGGCGACGAUCCAUAGCUGGUCUUAGAGGAUGAUCAGCCACACUGGGACUGAGACACGGCCCAGACUCCUACGGGAGGCAGCAGUGGGAAUAUUGGACAAUGGGCGAAAGCCUGAUCCAGCAAUGCCGCGUGAGUGAUGAAGGCCGUUAGGUGUAAAGCUCUUUACCGGGAUGAUAAUGACAGUACCGGAGAAGUAACGCCCGACUAACUCCGUGCCAGCCAGCCGC